GUCUAUGGCCAUACCUCCUUAAAUUGCCCAAUCUCAUGUGGUCUCAGAAGCUAAGCAGGGUUGGGCCUGAUUAGUAUUUGGAUGGGAGACAAACCUUCAAAAGAGACUGCUCAGAGACA
rnacentral:rRNA from 1 species